GGUCAAGCUACAAAGGGCGCAUGGUGAAUGCCUUGGCAUCAGGAGCCGAUGAAGGACGUGAUAAGCUGCGAUAAGCUUCGGGUAGGCGCACAUAGCCAGAGAUCCGAAGAUCUCCGAAUGAGGAAACUCACAUGGGAAACCCCAUGUAUCAUAAAGUGAAUACAUAGCUUUAUGAAGGUAUACCCAGGGAACUGAAACAUCUAAGUACCUGGAGGAAGAGAAAGAAAAAUCGAUUUUCUUAGUAGCGGCGAGCGAAAAGGAAAGAGCCCAAACCAGAGAUUUAUCUCUGGGGUUGCGGACAGAACAUAACGAGAAAUCAUAGUUAAUUGAACACAACUGGAAAGUUGGACCACAGUGGGUAAUAGUCCCGUAAGUGAAAACUAUGAUAAUCAGUUCUGCACCAGAGUACCACGAGACACGUGAAACCUUGUGGGAAGCAGGGAGGACCACCUCCCAAGGCUAAAUACUACCUGAUGACCGAUAGUGAAGCAGUACCGUGAGGGAAAGGUGAAAAGAACCCCGGGAGGGGAGUGAAAUAGAACCUGAAACCAUGUGCCUACAACCGAUCAGAGCACCUUAUGUGUGUGAUGAUGUGCUUUUUGUAGAACGAGCCAACGAGUUACGGUAUGUAGCGAGGUUAAGUACUUAAGGUACGGAGCCGAAGGGAAACCGAGUCUUAAUAGGGCGACUAGUUGCAUGCUGUAGACCCGAAACCGGGUGACCUAUCCAUGGCCAGGUUGAAGCGAGGGUAAAACCUCGUGGAGGACCGAACCACGUUGCUGUUGAAAAAGCAUGGGAUGAGCUGUGGAUAGCGGAGAAAUUCCAAUCGAACUCGGAUAUAGCUGGUUCUCCUCGAAAUAGCUUUAGGGCUAGCGUCGGAAAAUGUGAGUAGUGGAGGUAGAG
rnacentral:rRNA from 1 species